AAUUGUCGAGUUGUCUGUUUUAAGGUUCGACUGUUCUUUUGGGAUGUUUUUAUUGAGUGUGCUGUCAGGCACAAUUGUGUGGGAGUCAAUAAUGGGGCUGUCAGAGUAAUUCACUGCAGCCAACAGCAUUAGAUUUGUGUAGGGAUUUAAAAAAAAAAAAAUUGGGGGUUUGAACACAAUUUUUAAAAAGUGCUUAAAUUUAAUCCUAAAGAAAUGUUUCUAUACAUGCUGCAGUCCACGUGUUUUUUAUUUACUAUUUUUUUUUAUAUUCUGUUUCAGUAUUUAGUAGACUUUGUUUUGUGAAUAGCAAUGGUUUUGUGUCUGAGUUGUCAUGUUUUGAGUUUUGCCAAAACUUACUGCUUAUUAGAGAUGCCGAGCAUCCAACCAGGAGCAUGAUUUUGGUUCAAAAAUAUUAUUAUUCAUAGUAGUAGUAUAAUAUCAAUCCCAUGAGCUCUUUCACACCCAUUCAUCAAAAACUCCUUUGUAAGCCUGGGAAAAUUAUUGUUUUGACUUCAGUCACAGAGCUUUCAUUUACAGUGUUGUAGAAAUGAUCUUAACACAUGCAUGUGUGUCUUAGUAGCCUGCGUGAGACUAGCUCGGGUUGGCAUCUCUGGCGUUGUGUAAAGGCAGGCAUCCUGCCCUUCCUCAGAGGAGCCGCACUGUUCUUCCACCAUCUCAAUGGAGUUCCCACUUUGCCUGAGCUUGACGGUGGUGCUCACAUCCAGGCAUGCAACAAUGUCUCCAGUCACCUGAAACCCUUAUAAGUUUUCCUCGGGAAUCCAAUAAUCUAAUUGAUUUACCAGAGGAUUACUGUGCACUGAUCAACUAGGCUUUCAGCUUCACCUGCUGCCAGACUGAGCUGGAGGGUGAGGACGUUGAAGCGUGUACUGCACACACCUUUGUUUGCUGAGCUGGUGUUAGCAUCUUCCUCAGGGUGAGGGAGAAUCAGGUUCUUUUCCUGUACCUCGAUGACUACGGAGAACUGUCCAAGGG